rnacentral:lncRNA from 1 species
AUGGUCUCCUGGAGAAACUUCCAGGCUGUGUGCUUUUUUUUGCUUCUUAAUCAGAAUACAAUCAGAAAUCGGGAAGGCAGCGCUGUUACAACAGUCGAUGCAUAUGGAAUAUGUACCAGGAAUCUAGAUGGUGCAUUCCCUAUGACUGGAACUACUGUGAACGUGCCCCCAUUCCUUUCAUCCUGCAAGAUCUUGAAUCUGCAAAAUGAACAACAUUGAUGCCAGUACAAGAUGCAAGACUAUAUGGUCAAGCACGGUUCUGAACCUGUCUCCUACCCCUUGUCCUCAGCUGCUCUUCCUGCCUCCACAAACUGUCCACUGUGUGUCCAGCCUUACAGAUCUCAUCGCUUUCCUUCGGUCACGUGGUUACUCUUUGUCCUGGAUCUUCUUCUAACUACUUCACAUUCUCUCAGUGGUUAGAACAGAAACGAUCCAGCUGAGAACUGCUGGAUCACUAGACCAUCAGACAACGUGGUAUCAUUUCUCCCCGGUUCUUCCUCCAGCUAUGAAACAACCUUCCCCAUUCAGAGCUGCCCCAGUCCUAACGCCUUCUUCAGGUGUCUUGUCUGCCU